rnacentral:rRNA from 3 species
UGGGGAAUAUUGGACAAUGGGCGCAAGCCUGAUCCAGCCAUGCCGCGUGAGUGAUGAAGGCCCUAGGGUUGUAAAGCUCUUUCAACGGUGAAGAUAAUGACGGUAACCGUAGAAGAAGCCCCGGCUAACUUCGUGCCAGCAGCCGCGGUAAUACGAAGGGGGCUAGCGUUGUUCGGAAUUACUGGGCGUAAAGCGCACGUAGGCGGACAUUUAAGUCAGGGGUGAAAUCCCGAGGCUCAACCUCGGAACUGCCUUUGAUACUGGGUGUCUUGAGUCCGGAAGAGGUGAGUGGAAUUCCGAGUGUAGAGGUGAAAUUCGUAGAUAUUCGGAGGAACACCAGUGGCGAAGGCGGCUCACUGGUCCGGUACUGACGCUGAGGUGCGAAAGCGUGGGGAGCAAACAGG